CCAAUAGCGUAUAUUAAAGUUGUUGCAGUUAAAAAGCUCGUAGUUGAAUUUCGGGGUUAGUAGGUUGGUCAUGCCUCUGGUAUGUACUGGUCUCACUGAUUCCUCCUUCCUGAUGAGCCGUAAUGCCAUUAAUUUGGUGUUGCGGGGAAUUUGGACUGUUUCUUUGAAAAAAUUAGAGUGUUUAAAGCAAGCUAACGCUUGAAUACAUUAGCAUGGAAUAAUGAAAUAGGACGUUCGAUCCUAUUUUGUUGGUUUCUAGGAUUGACGUAAUGAUUAAUAGGGAUAGUUGGGGGCAUUAGUAUUCAAUUGUCAGAGGUGAAAUUCUUGGAUUUAUUGAAGACUAACUACUGCGAAAGCAUUUGCCAAGGAUGUUUUCAUUAAUCAAGAACGAGAGUUAGGGGAUCGAAGACGAUCAGAUACCGUCGUAGUCUUAACCAUAAACUAUGCCGACUAGGGAUCGGAUGAUGUUAAUUUUUUAAUGACUCAUUCGGCGCCUUACG
rnacentral:rRNA from 1 species